rnacentral:rRNA from 1 species
UACGGAGGGUGCGAGCGUUAAUCGGAAUUACUGGGCGUAAAGCGUGCGCAGGCGGUUUGUUAAGCGAGAUGUGAAAGCCCCGGGCUUAACCUGGGAACGGCAUUUCGAACUGUCAGACUAGAGUGUGGUAGAGGGUAGUGGAAUUUCCUGUGUAGCGGUGAAAUGCGUAGAUAUAGGAAGGAACACCAGUGGCGAAGGCGGCCCCCUGGACAAAGACUGACGCUCAGGCACGAAAGCGUGGGGAGCAAACAGG